rnacentral:rRNA from 1 species
AUUGAACGCUGGCGGCAGGCCUAACACAUGCAAGUCGAACGAGUGGCGGACGGGUGAGUAAUGUCUGGGAAACUGCCCGAUGCAGGGGGAUAACUACUGGAAACGGUAGCUAAUACCGCAUACCAUCGGAUGUGCCCAGAUGGGAUUAGCUAGUAGGUGGGGUAAAGGCUCACCUAGGCCACGAUCCCUAGCUGGUCUGAGAGGAUGACCGGCAACACUGGAACUGAGCAACGGUCCAGACUCCUACGGGAGGCAGAAGUGGGGAAUAUUGCACAAUGGGCGCAAGCCUAAUGCAGCCAUGCCGCGUGUAUGAAGAAGGCCUUCGGGUUGUAAAGUACUUUCAGCGGGGAGGCGUUACCCGCAGAAGAAGCACCGGCUAACUCCGUGCCAGCAGCCGCGGUAAUAC